UACAGAGGGGGCAAGCGUUGUUCGGAAUUACUGGGCGUAAAGGGCGCGUAGGCGGCCCGCUAAGUCGAACGUGAAAUCCCCGAGCUCAACUCGGGAACUGCGUCCGAUACUGGCGGGCUUGAAUCCGGGAGAGGGAUGCGGAAUUCCAGGUGUAGCGGUGAAUGCGUAGAGUAUCUGGAGGAACACCGGUGGCGAAGGCGACAUCCUGGACCGGUAUGACGCUGAGGCGCGAAAGCCAGGGGAGCAAACGGG
rnacentral:rRNA from 1 species